AUUGAACGCUGGCGACAGGCCUAACACAUGCAAGUCGAGCGAGCGGCGGACGGGUGAGUAAUGUAUGGGGACUGCCCGAUAGAGGGGGAUAACUACUGGAAACGGUGGCUAAUACCGCAUACUAUCCGAUAACCCAUAUGGGAUUAGCUUGUAGGUGGGGUAAAGGCUCACCUAGGCGACGAUCGCUAGCUGGGCUGAGAGGAUGAUCAGCCACACUGGGACUGAGACACGGCCCAGACUCCUACGGAGGCAGCAGUGGGGAAGAUGGCACAAUGGGCGCAAGCCUGAUGCAGCCAGGCCGCGUGUAUGAAGAAGGCCUUCGGGUUGUAAAGUACUUUCAGCGGGGAGGCGUUACCGACAGAAGAAGCACCGGCUAACUCCGUGCCAGCAGCCGCGGUAAUAC
rnacentral:rRNA from 1 species